AACGAACGCUGGCGGCAUGCCCAACACAUGCAAGUCGAACGAGACCUUCGGGUCUAGUGGCGCACGGGUGCGUAACGCGUGGGAACCUGCCCUUAGGUUCGGAAUAACUCCCCGAAAGGGGUGCUAAUACCGGAUAAUGUCUUCGGACCAAAGAUUUAUCGCCUUUGGAUGGGCCCGCGUUGGAUUAGCUAGUUGGUAGGGUAAAAGCCUACCACGGCGACGAUCCAUAGCUGGUCUGAGAGGAUGAUCAGCCACACUGGGACUGAGACACGGCCCAGACUCCUACGGGAGGCAGCAGUGGGGAAUAUUGGACAAUGGGCGAAAGACUGAUCCAGCAAUGCCGCGUGAGUGAUGAAGGCCUUAGGGUUGUAAAGCUCUUUUACCCGGGAUGAUAAUGACAGUACCGGGAGAAUAAGCUCCGGCUAACUCCGUG
rnacentral:rRNA from 1 species